ACGGAAGGCAGCAGUAGGGAAUAUUGCACAAUGGGGGGAACCCUGAUGCAGCAACGCCACGUGUGGGAAGAAGCAUUUCGGUGUGUAAACCUCUGUCGUGAGGGAAUAAUGCUUGAUUUCGGUCAAGUUGAAUGUACCUCGAAAGGAAGCACCGGCAAACUUCGUGCCAGCAGCCGCGGUAAUACGAGGGGUGCAAGCGUUGUUCGGAAUCACUGGGCGUAAAGGGAGCGUAGGCGGAGACGCAAGCAGUCUGUACAAUACCGGGGCCCAACCCCGGACCUGCAGACUGGACUGUGUCUCUUGGAUAGUUCAGGGGCAGGCGGAAUUCCUGGUGUAGCGGUGGAAUGCGUAGAGAUCAGGAAGAACACCGAUGGCGAAGGCAGCCUGCUGGGGACUCAUCGACGCUGAGGCUCGAAAGUGCGGGUAGCAAACAGGAUUAGAUACCCUGGUA
rnacentral:rRNA from 1 species